rnacentral:rRNA from 1 species
UUGAAAGGGAAACGAUUGAAGUCAGUCGUACCGACGAGAAAUCAACUUAUCGUGUGCGAACUUGUGGGCGUGCGUGAGUUUCGGCCUCGCUGUUUGCAUGUUUGUGCGCUUUGGGUGUACUUUUUCGUAUGGUAGGCCAACGUCAGUUUCGAUUAUCAUAAAAUGACCGGCGGAAUGUAGCUUCGAUUUCGGUUGAAGUGUUAUAGCCUCUGGUAGAUGUGGUGAUUGAGACUGAGGAUUGCAACGAAUACCCUUUGGGCUAUCCGUCUGGCCUCUGAAAGUUGCUCAGGUGCCGAAAGCGUGCUUACGGUUAUCUAAGAUAACGUUCAACAGGUUAGAACGUGAUUACAUUCGUUAAGGAUGUUGACGUA